AUUCAGCUGACGAGUCCCAAAAAGGACGGAACGUGUGUCUCGGAU
rnacentral:hammerhead_ribozyme from 1 species